GUUGAAGAACGUAGCGAAAUGCGAUAAGUAAUGUGAAUUGCAGAAUUCAGUGAAUCAUCGAAUCUUUGAACGCACAUUGCGCCCGCCAGUAUUCUGGCGGGCAUGCCUGUUCGAGCGUCAUUUCAACCAUCAAGCCCCGGGCUUGUGUUGGGGACCUGCGGCUGCCGCAGGCCCUGAAAUGCAGUGGCGGGCUCGCUGUCACUCCGAGCGUAGUAGUUACAUCUCGCUCUGGGCGUGCUGCGGGUUCCGGCCGUUAAAAGCCUUAUUUACCCAAGGUUGACCUCGGAUCAGGUAGGAAGACCCGCUGAACUUAAGCAUAUCAAUAAGCGGAGGA
rnacentral:misc_RNA from 1 species